AGAUUGAACGCUGGCGGCAGGCCUAACACAUGCAAGUCGAGCGGUAGAGAGGUGCUUGCACCUCUUGAGAGCGGCGGACGGGUGAGUAAUGCCUAGGAAUCUGCCUAGUGGUGGGGGAUAACGUUCGGAAACGGACGCUAAUACCGCAUACGUCCUACGGGAGAAAGCGGGGGACCUUCGGGCCUCGCGCCGAUUAGAUGAGCCUAGGUCGGAUUAGCUAGUUGGUGAGGUAAUGGCUCACCAAGGCGACGAUCCGUAACUGGUCUGAGAGGAUGAUCAGUCA
rnacentral:rRNA from 1 species